AUAUAUUUAUUAAAUAUUAAAAUAUAAAAUAAUAUACAUUAAUUAUUUCCACUCCAUAUCACCUCACUCACCCCAUCCCAUCACCCACUACACCACAUUUCCUUCAUCUCUCCAUCGGAGAUAGGCAUCGGCUCCGGCAUUCACUCUGUAGACCGCUCAGUCAGCAACUCCGACGAUUGGUCCGAUAAUCGUUCCGAAAAACUGCUGCGGCGAACACUCAGUGACUACUCCGGAAAACUGCUCCAGUGACUAUUCCACCAAUUGUUCCGGCUCCGAUAAUAGAAAAAUCUCCAAAAAUUGUGAUGGUCGUAGUGGUGCAUUGUAGUUAUCAGAUUUACAACCGUGUUAUCUGUGACCAUACCUAUGUUAUAUGUGACCAAUUCACUGGCUUAUGUUAUCUGAGAGUCAUCACGACCAACUUUGCUUUCAAUGUGACUAAUUGUGACCAAAUUUGUAUUCAGUGUGACUGUCUGUGACCAGAUCAAUCUUAAGUCACAACCGGUCACAAUCAAUACAAAAUUAAUCACAAACAGUCACAACUAGAUCUUGAAUAGAAAAACCAGAUCUCUAACCAUCACAGCAAAUAUGUUUGAAGAAAUAAUAACCACAAGUACUACUAAUAUCUUUAACUCAAAUUGAUGACCAUAAAUACUACAUUAACCUCAAAUCCACAACAAUCAUCAUUACCAUAACUUUCACCAACCCUUCAAAAAACACCAACCAGCACCACCACACUUCUCUCGUGAAACUCCGGUGAGAGAAGUGGUAGGUGGUCGGAAUCUAAAGGGUGGGUGGGGAAGAAGUCGUAGAUUUGAUUUUUAGGUAAGAGAGUGCCGAACUAAUUUUUGAGGAAAGAAAUAGAGUGUGUGGGUCAAAAAUUGAUACAAGAUCUAGGGUAAAUUAAUACAAGGUCUGUGAUCAAGUUUGUAUUCAAUGUAACAGUUUGUGACCAGAUCAAUCUCAAGUCACAACCGGUCACAAUCAACACAAAAUAGGUCACAAACAGUCACAACCAGAUCUCGAACAUAAAAAACCAGAUCUCCACCACCACAGUAGAUUUGUUUGGAAAAAUAAUAACCACCAACACUACUAACAUCUUUAACUCAAAUCCACAACAAAAAUCAUCACUACCAUAACUUCCACCAACACCUUCAAAAAACAAUAAUCAAUUGAUUACUGAAUAUUUCUUAAUAAAGAUUUUCAAGAUUCUUCUUCAUUGCGCAGAAAAGGGAGAUGAUUGCGUGGGUGGUGGUAGAGAAAGAGAGAGAGAAAAGGGGAGGAUAGGGCGAAAAAACAUGUGGGAAAAUGAAAAUAAAUUGGGCUUGGAUUUGGAAAUGAAAUAGGGAUGGAAUGGGCUUCACUGUGCUGAAAAGGGAGAUGGUUAAGUGGGUGGUUGUAGAGAGAGAGAGAGGUGGGAAAAUGAAAAUGCCUGGGACUUGGAUUGGGAAGGAAAUGGGUGGAAUGAGCGGUGGUACGUUGGUUUAAUUAAAUUUUCAUUAAUUAUUAAAUCUAAUUAAAACCUGAUUUGUGAAAUGAAAAUUAAUCAUCCUUAUUUUUGAAAAUUAGUCUUUAAAUGUAGGUUUCUAGAUAAUUUUCCCAUUAGAUUGUCUUGGGUAAGGGUCGGCCUGAAUAUGGCAUCUAUGCAAGGGGAAUCAUAGUCUAUGUAGUCUAUAGAACUUCAGAAGUUGAUCCUAUCCUAAACAACUCCAUACGUUGCAUAUGUACCACAUUACCUCCAAGAGUAAGCUCUUAGGGACAUGUUCUUUCAUGGAAGUUGGUCUUACCACACUGCAUGCAUAGGGAACAUUAACUAAACCAUAUAUAAUUAACCAUAUUUGAAUUAAAAAAAAAACACCUCUACAUAUGAGCCGAGCACUAUAAAUAACAAUCCUUAGCUCACAUACGAUAUAAAAAUCUUUCAAGACAGUGACUUAACAAUAUAGAAUGCGAAUUUCAUUAUUAGAAUUUCGUAAGUUUUAAAAAGUAGAUAUUUAUGUAAACACCAACGGUGAGUAGAUGAGGUUGACAAACAUUCCAACCUAUAGAUCAUAAAUUACAAGAUACACGAAGAAAAAGGACAUGUAACUCACCUUCAAAGCUGCAGAAGGAGGAGAUGGAGAUGGCCAUAUGCAAAAAUUUAAACCAAAAAGAGAGCAUCAUUUUUAUUAUUCUAAUAUAAUAAAUUCUUAAUCUAUCUAACUAAUUUAUUUUUACAUAUUUUAGAGGUUUAGUCAUCUGCCAUCAGAAUCUUUAUUAUUAGGGAAGAUAAUG
rnacentral:lncRNA from 1 species